UGGGGAAUAUUGGACAAUGGGCGCAAGCCUGAUCCAGCCAUGCCGCGUGAGUGAUGAAGGCCCUAGGGUUGUAAAGCCCUUUCACCGGUGAAGAUAAUGACGGUAACCGGAGAAGAAGCCCCGGCUAACUUCGUGCCAGCAGCCGCGGUAAUACGAAGGGGGCUAGCGUUGUUCGGAUUUACUGGGCGUAAAGCGCACGUAGGCGGACUUUUAAGUCAGGGGUGAAAUCCCGGGGGUCAACCCCGGAACUGCCUUUGAUACUGGAAGUCUUGGGUAUGGUAGCAGUGAGUGGAAUUCCGAGUAUAGAGGUGAAAUUCGUAGAUAUUCGGAGGAAAACCAGUGGCGAAGGCGGCUCACUGGACCAUUACUGACGCUGAGGUGCGAAAGCGUGGGGAGCAAACAGG
rnacentral:rRNA from 1 species